AUGUACAUGCCUACAACAUAGCAUUAAUGCAGCGGAUCCCAUUAGAACUCUACAAUUAAGUGUGUUUAGGCUAUAGUAGUACUGGGAUGGGUGACCGCUUGUGAAUUCCUAGUGUUUUACAUC
rnacentral:rRNA from 1 species